CGUCAUUGAUGGAGAAUGUAAGAAAAGAUGAAGUGUAAGAGACCAAGAAUGCAGUCUUUGCAAUGAACCCAGACAAAUCGCCUGGACCUGACGGAAUGUCUGCAGCCUUUUACCGUCAACAUUGGGAAACUAUCAAGCCAGAUAUGGAGGAACGGGAUCAUGAAGUGCAUUACAACAGUUUCCUAUACGAUUCUCAUAAAUCGAGACCAGUCAAGAACCAUUACGCCUCAUAGAGGUCUCAGGCAAGAUGACUCGCUGUUAUUUUGCAAAGCCACAGGAGAGGAAACUUGCAAUCUCAGACACAUUCUCAACACCUAUCAGCAGGCUUCAGGACAAGAAAUUAACUAUACCAAGUCGUCCAUAUCUUUCAGUAAAGGCUAAAUGGGCUAUAUUUAAAAUGGGCCGCCGUAAGAGGAUUAAACCCAUAGCGACAUCAACGACGUGGAAAAGAAGGUCGCCGAAGUCGAGAAGGUCGCGGAAGCAGUUACAAGAAUAGCGGAGUCGAACCUAUAAAAGGAAGAGGAUAUCAAGGCUAAAGGACACAGCGAAAACCCUAGAGAGAGAGCACACCACACAUUUACAUCUUUCUUACUUCGUUUAGAUCUCAUUCUUGAUCGACCUCCUUGUUAUAGUCGAUCUCUU